GAUGAAGAACGCAGCGAAAUGCGAUAAGUAAUGCGAAUUGCAGAAUUCCAGUGAGUCAUCGAAUCUUUGAACGCACAUUGCGCCCUUUGGUAUUCCGAAGGGCAUGCCUGUUCGAGCGUCAUUAUCACCCCUCAAGCCCUCGGCUUGGUGUUGGACGGUUUGGUGGAGGCCCCCUCGGGGGCUCCUGCCCCUCCCAAAGACAAUGACGGCGGCCUCGUUGGACCCCCGGUACACUGAGUUCUUCACGGGACACGUAUCGGACACAUGGGUUUACNNNNCACGGUCUGCCUCCCCUCAGGGAGAAUCUUUCUAAGGUUGACCUCGGAUCAGGUAGGGAUACCCGCUGAACUUAAGCAUAUCAAUAAGCGGAGGA
rnacentral:misc_RNA from 1 species